CUUGUUGUCCCUGGUGGGGAUUGUGAAGGUUGUGGUCGCUGGAAUCCUCUGCCGAGGUAGAUUGGUGAGUGUGGGGAUGUCCCUUAUCGCGCCACAGCUCAUUUAGGUAGUGGUACUGGGUAGGGUCGUGUCUGGAAGUCUGAGGGCCUCUGCCGAGGUGUCUUCGCCCAGGAGGGUAGUGAUUACCUUGGAAGGGUGGGGGGUUUGUGUGGAUAGACCUGGGGUUUGUCAUUUUUGGGUUAGGUGACUCACCACUGGUCUGUCGAUGACCCGCUGAUGCUUGAGUCGGUUCUCCCGCCUCCUCCUUCCAGCCUUCCAUACUGCAACUUGGCCCCGUCCUGGAGCCGCGGACUGUGGCGUGGUGACCUGUGGGGUUGUUGCCGAUGGGACCUCU